rnacentral:misc_RNA from 1 species
AAAAAACUUAAAAGAUAUUGAUUACAUGUUGCAGGUAGAUGUGUGUAUGCAUACUUCUUGUUGUAGAUAGAUGUGUUUAUGCAUACUUGUUCCAAAGCACCACUACCUGAAAGACUUGGUCAUUCUUAUUUUGGAUGUCUUUAAAGGGGAUGAAACUUUAUCGAAGGAACUUAUCUUGCAAAUAGUUUAACUAGCUGAUUAAUGUCUUUGUUUCACAUUGCAUUUUGUUGGAAAUAGUUUGUUGAAGGCCAUGUAUAGCUUUACCAUGCUUUAGCCCUGAAUUUGAUCUUAAAACUCCAAAACUUAUGGCUCACAGGUGGUUAAGGUUGCUGAUUUUG